CCUACGGGAGGCAGCAGUGGGGAAUUUUGGACAAUGGGCGAAAGCCUGAUCCAGCCAUGCCGCGUGUCUGAAGAAGGCCUUCGGGUUGUAAAGGACUUUUGUCAGGGAGGAAAUCCCUAGCGUUAAUACCGCUGGGGGAUGACAGUACCUGAAGAAUAAGCACCGGCUAACUACGUGCCAGCAGCCGCGGUAAUACGUAGGGUGCGAGCGUUAAUCGGAAUUACUGGGCGUAAAGCGUGCGCAGGCGGUUUGAUAAGCCAGAUGUGAAAUCCCCGAGCUCAACUUGGGAACUGCAUUUGUGACUGCAAGACUAGAGUGUGUCAGAGGGAGGUGGAAUUCCGCGUGUAGCAGUGAAAUGCGUAGAGAUGCGGAAGAACACCGAUGGCGAAGGCAGCCUCCUGGGAUAACACUGACGCUCAGGCACGAAAGCGUGGGGAGCAAACAGGAUUAGAUACCCUGGUAGUCCACGCCCUAAACGAUGUCAACUAGUUGUUGGGGAUUCAUUUCCUUAGUAACGUAGCUAACGCGUGAAGUUGACCGCCUGGGGAGUACGGCCGCAAGGUUAAAACUCAAAGGAAUUGACGG
rnacentral:rRNA from 1 species